UAUUUUUCUUUUCUAUUCAUUUUUUUUCCCAACUGCUUUGCCCAUGGCUUGCUCGGUCCUUUGGUGUGACUUUCUCGUCCUGUUUGUACGAAAGACAGUCUUGCAGUUGAACCUAAAAUCCUAGUAGACUUUGGGAUGUUAUUGCUUCCUGAGGAACAGACUUUUCAUGCUGGCUUUCAGGGCUUUCCAUCGCUAUCAAAGAGCUUUCCUUUUUGUAAUCUACAACAGGUUAUACCUUUCCUCAGCCAGAGACCACAACCCUGUUUAUUAAAAAAUGAUGAUCUUUAUUCACUCUUUUGGCUACUUUGUGAAAUAGCUGAUCAUGAGAAGUCUACAUUAUUUCUAUGGAGAAAACUGCCUCUGUCCUGUCAGUUUCAUGGCACUCAGGACUGGAAAGAUGUGCCUCUCUCAAGAGAAAUCACUCACUGAGCCUCCAAAGAACUGUCUGGGUCCACCUGCUCUCAGAUGAGUAAAAGGAGAGAGAUGAAGUUUUACAAAUGUAAUGAGACCAGCAGUGGCCUCAAUAGGAAUUAUAGGAGAUGAACUGAAAGUGUGCUGGGCCUUUGCAACCCAGGAAAUGGAGAUGUAAUAA